GUGAAUCAUCGAAUUUUUGAACGCAAAUUGCACUCUCUUCGGAGCGAAUGCCUGUUCGUGUGUCAGCCUAAAAUAAAUCGACAUCCUUGCUGUUUUGCGGUGGCGUUCGUCGGAAACUGGGUUAUCUUAAAUCUUUGGUUUAAGCGUCUUAAAAUUUUCUUUACGAUUUCUUGUACGUCUCCUAUAUUUACUUCUUUACACGUUUACGU
rnacentral:misc_RNA from 1 species